AUACGGAGGACGCGAGCGUUAUCCGGAUUCAUUGGGUUUAAAGGGUGCGCAGGCGGCCGUGCAAGUCAGCGGUGAAAGCCCGGGGCUCAACCCCGGAAGUGCCGUUGAUACUGCAUGGCUGGAAUGCGGUCGAGGCGGGCGGAACGUGGCGUGUAGCGGGGAAAAGCGUAGAUAUGCCACAGAACGCCGAUGGCGGAGGCAGCUCGCCAGGCCUGCAUUGACGCUCGGGCACGAAAGCGUGGGGAUCGAACAGGAUUAGAUCCCCUGGUAGUCCACGCCGUAAACGAUGGGCGCUCGUCGUCGGCGGCAGACAGUCGGCGGCCAAGCGAAAGCGAUAAGCGCCCCACCUGGGGAGUACGGUCGCAAGGCUGAAACUCAAAUGAAUUGACGGGG
rnacentral:rRNA from 1 species